UAGGAAUCUUCGGCAAUGGGGGCAACCCUGACCGAGCAACGCCGCGUGAGUGAAGAAGGUUUUCGGAUCGUAAAACUCUGUUGUUAGAGAAGAACACGAGUGAGAGUAACUGUUCAUUCGAUGACGGUAUCUAACCAGCAAGUCACGGCUAACUACGUGCCAA
rnacentral:rRNA from 1 species